rnacentral:rRNA from 1 species
AGCGAACGCUGGCGGCAGGCUUAACACAUGCAAGUCGAGCGGGCACUUUCGGGUGUCAGUGGCGGACGGGUGAGUAACGCGUGGGAACGUGCCCUCUGGUUCGGAAUAACUCAGGGAAACUUGAGCUAAUACCGGAUACGCCCUUUUGGGGAAAGGCUUGCUGCCGGAGGAUCGGCCCGCGUCUGAUUAGCUAGUUGGUGAGGUAACGGCUCACCAAGGCGACGAUCAGUAGCUGGUCUGAGAGGAUGAUCAGCCACACUGGGACUGAGACACGGCCCAGACUCCUACGGGAGGCAGCAGUGGGGGAUAUUGGACAAUGGGGGCAAGCCUGAUCCAGCCAUGCCGCGUGAGUGAUGAAGGCCUUAGGGUUGUAAAGCUCUUUUAUCCGGGACGAUAAUGACGGUACCGGAGGAAUAAGCCCCGGCUAACUUCGUG